AGGUUAGGAUUUUAAACAAGAAGAUCGAUUUUAGCGAUAUUCAGUCCCGGUGUGGUUCCAGAGAUAACAUCAAACAUUCUGCAGGGGGAGGAAAUGUACAAAUCGUAACCAAGAAGAUCGACUUGAGUCAUGUAACUUCCAAGUGUGGCUCGCUCAAGAAUAUCCACCACAAACCAGGAGGUGGGCGUGUGAAAAUUGAGAGCGUGAAACUGGAUUUCAAAGAAAAAGCUCAGGCUAAAGUUGGUUCACUGGAAAAUGCCCACCAUGUACCUGGUGGUGGUAAUGUCAAGAUUGACAGCCAGAAGCUAAACUUCAGAGAGCAUGCUAAAGCCCGUGUGGAUCACGGGGCUGAGAUCAUCACGCAGUCACCAGGCAGGUCCAGCGUGGCUUCGCCGCGCAGACUCAGCAACGUCUCGUCCUCUGGAAGCAUCAACCUGCUUGAAUCGCCCCAGCUUGCUACCCUCGCUGAAGAUGUCACGGCAGCCCUCGCUAAGCAGGGCUUAUGAAUUUGCUCAUUUUGCGUUGUAUGAAGUAAUAAUAUUUAGGCAUGAGCUCUUGGCAGGAAUGGGCUCAGAGCAGGUGUUACAUUCAUUCUUUACCACGUUUAAAACAAAGUCAUAUCCCAAGACUUAUAGUUACCGUACAGUUAAAAAAAUUAAAAAAAAAAAAACAGAAAAAAAAAAAAAGUAAAUAGAUGCAGAAAUUGGCCUGAUCUCCAUUUAAAAUAGGAAGACACUGGCUUUGUAUGGGUAUACAACUGCAGUAUGUUACAUUGGACAAUUAUUGUUGCUCUGCUCUGUCUUGCAUGGAGUACCGUACUAUGAUAAAAUGCAUUUUUACCUUACAUGUGCCUGAAGGCCAUCCACCUCUUUCUGAAGAGCCUUGUUAAUAUCCCAAGUUGCUCAUUUCACUGUUCUCUUGAUAGAUGGGGAAAUAAAAAAAGAAAAGUUGCCCAUUGUAAGUUAUUACAGGUUAAAUUAACAGUCUGCUUACCAGAAGGAAGGGCAUAUAGAGAAAUUCAAGUUUAAUUAAAAAAAAAAAAAGUGUUAUUUUGUAUAAAUGAGUAGAACAAAAGUUGAAUUAAGUUAUUAACAUUUUUUGGACCUGGUUAAUUAUGUCAGUGUAUAGCUGAAAAGCCAAUAAAUUAUUUAACUAAUAACUAAAAAUAGUAGUUGCAAACAUUUGAACCAUGCUUGGGGAAGUGACGUAAAAAUGCUGUUGAAAGCAAGCACUUCCACCCCAACGGACUUGUGUCUGAUUAGAAAGUUGGUUAAGCGGCUAGGUUUGUGUAUGCACCACCGGUUUCACCUCCUUUCCAUCUGUUUGAUACAGUAUUAUAGAUAUAUAUAUUUCUCUGUGGCCAUUUGUGAUAUGCCCUCCUCAUAUACUUGAAUAUUCUACUUCUUUAUUCACAGUAUCUGUGUCUCUUGCACCCUUUGGUGUUGCAAUUUUAGGUAUGUAAAAGUAGAUGUUAGCAGGGUUUUUUUCCCUACUCAUAAGAAUACAUUUAAAAAAGAUGAAAAUUUUAGCAUGAAGUUGCUUUCUGUAACAACUAAAAGCCGUGACCCUGUUUUAGUGCCAGAUGCAAGUCUCUUCUGUGAUGCUAGAAAAAGGAUUCUUUCCCUCUUCCCUUCCCUCCCUUUCUUCACAAAGGUAUGAUUUUUGUGGGGUCCAGACGUUUGUAAAAGGGUCUCCAAAGAUGGCUGUGUUUGGAUUCUGGAUUUUUAAAAAAUCCACAAUAGGAUUUUUUUCAUUCUUCCUUUUUUUUAAAAAAAACAAAACAAAACAAAACAAACCUCCUGUAGUAACAGUGAAUGUUACAUUUAUUUAUUUUUUUUUCUUUUGCUAAAGUUGAAACACAGAAAAAAGUACAUAAGAUGUUGUUUCCACUCCUUCAGUGAUGUCGUAUGUAUACAAUCAGGCACUCAGAUAACAGUGAUAAACACAACAGAGAUGCCUGUAAAUUAUAGUACAUGAAAAAAUAAACUGAGCUCCCUAGACUGGGUUGCCAUGGCAAUUCAUCAAUAAAUAGGGCUUAUUAAAAUCUAAGCAAAGUGGGAUUAUAUUGACUAUAAAAAGUAUAAGAAAAAGUGUGCAUAAAAGAUAAAGGGCAGAGAGAUAUAAACAACUGAUCUAACGGAGUUACCUGUGAGAACUCCAACACUAUCUUACGGACACAAAGAGAACACUGAAGGUGAUAUGGUAGUAUUACUCAUCAGCGGAUAAUAAUCUGCUGAUACUAUAUGUACAGUAGACAUUAUGAAAUGACCCGUUUACAUUCUUGCAGAUUGUUUGAUCUUUUCCUUUUAAAAUCUCUUAACUAAACUUUGCACUGUCAGUUGAGCUAUACUUGAUACAUGUAUUAGGUUAACAUUGUGUGUUGGAAGCUUAUGAUCUGUUCUUUUUCCUUCUUAAUUUGUAUGUGUGUGCGUGUGUGUUGGGGUUUGAUCUGAAAAGACUCAUAGAGAAGAUUUUUGUGUCUGUGGAGAAGUAUUCUCAUCAUUAAUAGCACAGGAUUCCCCAUCAUUAAAUUGAGGUAGUAAAUGCAGAGUUACUAGGCAGUAAAUAUUCAGCGGACCGAAGGGGGAUUUUGGCUGUCACAGCAGUACAAAGACAAAACAAAUAAAAAUUUUCCUGAAGAUGAAGUCCUAACAGCCCCACACAUGACAUUUCAGCUCUGCAAAAAGCUUUUCACACUAUAAAGUACCUAAUACUCUUUGUAAGUUGGUUGUUUUAUACAAAGGACAGUGAGUUUAGAAACAUGCUAAGUGCAUCUGGAGGAUUCUGAUUUCUGCCUUGUAUUUGUUAUACUUUUGCUUAGAGUAAUCCCAAUUCACAUGGAAACAGUAUCAAGUGAGGUGCAUUGAAAGCCUCUUCCCAUUUUUCCAGAAAAACAACAGAUAGAAAGAAAAAACAACAAAACAGCAUUUAUGUCACGUUGCUCUGAUCAUACUAUCAAUUAAUACAAAUUAGCCUUGCAGUCGGUUUUUUUUUAAUGCCUUUUGCCAGUGUGGGAGAGAGUCUAUGGUACUACUGAACCUCAGCUUCUCUGAAGCUGAACACCAACUAGUGAGAACAGUGUUAACCUGUGACUCGAGUGUUUUUUUAUUCUGCUUUUAAAAUUGACAUACUCUAGAAAAUGAAGCUUAGUUAAUCCACCUAUGAGUCCAGAGUUAGAGUGGUGUAACACACCAAGUCAUUUAUUUCAUGCAUUUAAAUGAACUUUCUUGUCUUGAUUCAAGCAAAGACCUUUGUAAUCGUAAUCAUCCUUCCAUAGAAAGAAUCCUAGAACGCUGUGGAGUUAUAGAUGAAAACAAAUCAAGAGUUUUGUGCUAUUAAA